rnacentral:rRNA from 1 species
UUGACCUCGGAUCAGGUAGGGAUACCCGCUGAACUUAAGCAUAUCAAUAAGCGGAGGAAAAGAAACCAACAGGGAUUGCCCUAGUAACGGCGAGUGAAGCGGCAACAGCUCAAAUUUGAAAUCUGGCUCUUUCAGAGUCCGAGUUGUAAUUUGCAGAGGGCGCUUUGGCUUUGGCAGCGGUCCAAGUUCCUUGGAACAGGACGUCACAGAGGGUGAGAAUCCCGUACGUGGUCGCUAGCUAUUGCCGUGUAAAGCCCCUUCGACGAGUCGAGUUGUUUGGGAAUGCAGCUCUAAAUGGGAGGUAAAUUUCUUCUAAAGCUAAAUAUUGGCCAGAGACCGAUAGCGCACAAGUAGAGUGAUCGAAAGAUGAAAAGCACUUUGGAAAGAGAGUCAAACAGCACGUGAAAUUGUUGAAAGGGAAGCGCUUGCAGCCAGACUUGCUUGCAGUUGCUCAUCCGGGCUUUUGCCCGGUGCACUCUUCUGUAGGCAGGCCAGCAUCAGUUUGGGCGGUGGGAUAAAGGUCUCUGUCACGUACCUC